rnacentral:rRNA from 1 species
UGCCAGCAGCCGCGGUAAUACGGAGGGUGCAAUCGUGAAUCGGAAUUACUGUGCGUAAAGCGUACGUAGGCGGUUCGAUAAGUCGGAUGUGAACGCCCCGGGCUCAACCUGGGACGUGCAUUCGAUACUGUCGGACUAGAAUCUGGAAGAGGUUGGCGGAAUUCCCGGUGUAGCGGUGAAAUGCGUAGAUAUCGGGAGGAACAUCAGUGGCGAAGGCGGCUGACUGGUUCAAGACGGACGCGGAGGUAAGAAAGCGUGGGGCGCAAACAGGAUUAGAUA